rnacentral:antisense_RNA from 1 species
CUCUAUACUGCCCUGGGACUCUGUAGAGAGUCCCUACCAGCAAGAAGGCUCUCACCAGAUGUGGCCCCUUGACCUUGGAUGUAGCCUCCAGAAUUACUCUAGAAGUAAGGAACCAAGCGCCUCACUGGUGGUGUGGAAGAACUGGGAUUCCCCACAGUGCAGUGGAAAUUCCUGGGAGUCUCGAACCACAUAUUUUCCAUCUACUACAUCCAAAGCUCUGCAAAGAACGGAACCACAGUCAUGUCAAUACGCUAUGAACAAUGCCAAAAUCUCAAGAAACCCAAAGGCAUAUUUCUCCAUGUAUUAAUAUAUUUCCAGUCAGCCCAAAUAAUGAAUCAUUCUUCAAAACCUACACGGUGUUGUAGAUAAUUUGGUGCUCUCAUAGCACAUUUAUAAAUAAACCUGGAUGACUUCA